UACGUAGGGGGCAAGCGUUGUCCGGAUUUAUUGGGCGUAAAGAGCGUGUAGGCGGCCCGAUAAGUCCGCUGUGAAAGUCCAGGGCUCAACCCUGGAAUGCCAGUGGAAACUGUCGGGCUGGAGUCCGGAAGAGGCGAGUGGAAUUCCUGGUGUAGCGGUGAAAUGCGCAGAUAUCAGGAGGAACACCAAUGGCGAAGGCAGCUCGCUGGGACGGUACUGACGCUGAGACGCGAAAGCGUGGGGAGCAAACAGG
rnacentral:rRNA from 1 species